rnacentral:lncRNA from 1 species
GCCCGGCUUCCUGACGCUCGCCUUUCGGAGCCGCCUGCCGCUUCUCCGCAGCCCUGGACCAGAGGGGACAAGCGAUGCUGCCCGAGCCCCCGCCCCUGGGCUUCGGGACAGGGACACGGGGCGCGUGAAAGGACUGCUACCGCGGCUUCUGCGCCAGGGCAACCGGGGCUGGAGGGGGCCUCCGAGUUCUUUGGGGGCGGAAGCUGCGGGCCGCGCCUCCCAGGCCUCGCCCUUCCCAGAGACCAGCUUCUGGGCUUUUUAAGGUCAAGUUUUUUGUGCCGCAGAGCGGGCCGGGAUCGUCCCCCUGCGAGGUGGCGGUGCCUACCACAGCGGGUCGGGAGCUUCUGGGAUCCGAGCCGAGAAACGGGACGCUCGAGUCCAUUUGCAGUCUUCACGUAGGAAACGGUGCUAGAACAACAAACCAGAAGAUUAACAGAGUUGGGGCUAAUAUAAUGCGUUGAAUGGUCUCAUGGCCC